rnacentral:ncRNA from 1 species
AGGCUUAAAAAGGGGAGCUUUAUGCUGAGAGGAAACGAGAUGUUUCGACCCACAACCUGAUUCGGAUAAUGCCGACGUAGGAUAAUAUUUAUAAUAUUU